rnacentral:rRNA from 1 species
AGAGAGAGACAUGCGCGCAUAUCAAUAAGCGGAGGAAAAGAAACUAACUAAGGAUUCCCUCAGUAACGGCGAGUGAAGCGGGAAGAGCUCAAAUUUGAAAUCUUCAAGGUUUUACCUUGACGAAUUGUAGUUUAAAGAAGUGUUUUCUGCUGAAGUUUUGGUAAAAGUUCUUUGGAAUAGGACAUCAUAGAGGGUGAGAAUCCCGUAUUUGACCAUUAUUUUCAGCUUUGUGAUACACUUUCAAAGAGUCGGAUUGUUUGGGAAUGCAGUCCAAAAUGGGUGGUAAAUUUCAUCUAAAGCUAAAUAUUGGCGAGAGACCGAUAGCGAACAAGUACCGUGAGGGAAAGAUGAAAAGAACUUUGAAAAGAGAGUUAAACAGUACGUGAAAUUGUCAAAAGGGAAGCGUUUGACACCAGUGUUGUUUUCUCGAAAAUCAAUUAAAAAUGGCUCGAUUUUGUAUUGCUGAGACCUUAAAAGCUCACUGUACAUUUUUCGUGUCUUUUUUAAUGCACUUUUCGUUUAACAAGUCAACAUCAGUUUCUUUUGUUGUAAAAGGGUCAUUGGAAGGUGGCUUUCUUUUCGGAGAAAGUGUUUAUAGCCUUUGGCCUCUGCAAUCGGAAGAGACUGAGGUCUGCAGCGUAGACUCUUCGGGGUUAGAUACAUUUGUGCUAAGUUAUAGCUUUUUAUAGACAACUUGUUGACUAUAAUUAGUCUUGUAGCUUACUCGCUUAUGCUAUUUUACCUACGCUUAGGAUGUUGAAGAUGUAGCACAUCAU